GACGAACGCUGGCGGCGUGCUUAACACAUGCAAGUCGAACGGAAAGGCCCUGCUCUUGUGGGGUGCUCGAGUGCCGAACGCGUGAGUGACACGUGAGUAACCUGCCCUUGACUUUGGGAUAACUUCAGGAAACUGGGGCUAAUACCGGAUAGGAGCUCCUGCUGCAUGGGGUGGGUUGGAAAGUUUCGGCGGUUGGGGAUGGACUCGCGGCUUAUCAGCUUGUUGGUGGGGUAGUGGCGUACCAACGCAUUGACGGGUAGCCGGCCUGAGAGGGUGACCGGCCACAUUGGGACUGAGAUAGGGCCCAGACGCCAACGGGAGGCAGCAGUGGGAAAUAUUGCACAAUGGGCGGAAGCCGGAUGCAGCAACGCCGGGUGCGGGAUGACGGCCUGCGGGUUGUAAACCGCUUUAGCGUGUGACGAAGCGUGAGUGACGGUAAUGGGUAAAGAAGCACCGGCUAACUACGUG
rnacentral:rRNA from 1 species